rnacentral:rRNA from 1 species
GUGGGGAAUAUUGCACAAUGGGCGGAAGCCUGAUGCAGCGACGCCGCGUGGGGGAUGACGGCCUUCGGGUUGUAAACCUCUUUCAGCAGGGAAGAAGCUUUUGUGACGGUACCUGCAGAAGAAGCACCGGCUAACUACGUGCCAGCAGCCGCGGUAAUACGUAGGGUGCGAGCGUUGUCCGGAAUUAUUGGGCGUAAAGAGCUCGUAGGCGGCUUGUCGCGUCGGAUGUGAAAGCUCGGGGCUUAACUCUGGGUUGGCAUUCGAUACGGGCAGGCUGGAGUUCGGUAGGGGAGAUCGGAAUUCCUGGUGUAGCGGUGAAAUGCGCAGAUAUCAGGAGGAACACCGGUGGCGAAGGCGGAUCUCUGGGCCGAUACUGACGCUGAGGAGCGAAAGCAUGGGGAGCGAACAGGAUUAGAAACCCGUGUAGUCC